AUCCCGUUAGCUCAGCUGGUUUAGAGCCUGUUGCUUAUAAUAUCGUGUGUUAUCUUCCAGAUAAACAGCGUGUAUGCGUCACCACAUGGUCGCCGGUUCGAAUCCGGCACGGGAUA